rnacentral:rRNA from 1 species
GACGAACGCUGGCGGCGUGCUUAACACAUGCAAGUCGAACGGAAAGGCCUGCUUUCCCUUGUGGAUUGCGGGUACUCGAGUGGCGAACGGGUGAGUAACACGUGAGUGAUCUGCCCCCAACUUGGGUAUAAGCCUGGGAAACUGGGUCUAAUUCCCGAUAGGACUGCAGGGUGGUUCCUGUGGUGGACAACGAUUUUCUAGUGGUUCGGGAUGAGCUCGCGGCCUAUCAGCUUGUUGGUGGGGUAAUGGCCUACCAAGGCGGCGACGGGUAGCCGGCCUGUGAGGAUGGACGGCCACAUUGGGACUGGGAUACGGCCCAGACUCCUACGGGAGGCAGCAGUGGGGAGUAUUGGAGAAUGGGCGGAAGCCUGAUGCAGCGACGCCGCGUGGGGGAUGACGGCCUUCUGGUGGUAAACUCCUUUCGACCGCGAGGAAGCCGCCUGGUUGGAAGGGUGGUGACGGUAGUGGUAGAAGAAGCACCGGCUAACUACGUG